UGGAAAUGAUGAAACAGAGAUAACUGGGUGCAUUUGAAUGGUGUGUGAUUGGAGCAUUUUUAAAUUAAGUAAAUAUUAAAAUUGAGUGGGGGAGGGGGUGUUUGUGUGUGUGUGUGUGUGUGUGUGUGUGUAUGCAUGCAUGGAUUUAAGUAUAAAGGCUAAGGAAAGGGAGCCCUGACAGAUAAUGCAGAUAUCGGAGUGCAUCUGAGGCAGUUGUAAAAAUACAAGAGUGUUUAUUACAACUUUGCCAGUGAUUACAAUCCGAAAACGGCUCACCUACCUGCCUGACACCCUAUAAUCUCUAACAGGUUCAUAAACGUGGACCUGUAAUCUGAUCCAU